rnacentral:rRNA from 1 species
GAUCAUGGCUCAGAGUGAACGCUGGCGGUAGGCCUAACACAUGCAAGUCGAACGGCAGCACAGGGGGGCUUGCUCCUUGGGUGGCGAGUGGCGGACGGGUGAGGAAUACAUCGGAAUCUACUCUGUCGUGGGGGAUAACGUAGGGAAACUUACGCUAAUACCGCAUACGACCUACGGGUGAAAGCAGGGGAUCUUCGGACCUUGCGCGAUUGAAUGAGCCGAUGUCGGAUUAGCUAGUUGGCGGGG